CCUGGAUCAACAGAUGGCGUUUCCAGCGCAAAAAAUGUCAGGUCCCAAAGAAACCUUGGACAAGUCUCACCCAGUACUCACCCACACUUCUCACCCCGCUCCCCACCCUAAACCUCUCCUCUCCAGGGGCUGGACUUCCCUUCCCCCAGCUUCUGAUUCUUGUAUAACUCAGCCAUUUUGGCCGCCCACUCUCUUGGGCCUCUCCUGGCUUCGUCAUCUGCUCCUCCCUUGGUCCACGUGCGCCCUCUCUAUUCUCUCUCCUCUCGUGGCCUGGCUCAUUCUGAAUUUCCAGAUACCUCUUGUCUGUGCUCUCUCCCUCAUACCUAUAAUAAAACCGCUCUCCCCAGCCAUACCUAGAAGCAGUGAUGUUCUCAUUUUCAUUCAGAAGGCAUGAGCAUAACGCAAAGGGAAAAAGUGGGCAACAGCCUUGCCCCCCUCCUCCCGUGACAAAACGGGCCGUGGGCCCUCUUUUAGUUCCCGGAAGCUAUCCCAUCAUGUGUUAGGCUGGAGACAACAGGGGAGGCAAGCGGCUUAGAACUGUUCUCCAAACAAGUGCCCCAGCGCGUGCGCGCCCACGUAAGGCUGCCCAGUUCUUGCAGGUCUGGAUGGAAGCUGUUUCCCCCACUUCCUUUAUCUGGGUGAGGAGCCACCAGUGACUUGGUCAAACUUUUCACUAUGUACAAGUUGCAGUCACCCUUCAGUCUCGGUUUGUAUGCUCAGAAGUGGGGUCCUGGAGCUCGGGGGCGGCAUCUCGGGGGACGUUCCACAAGCUGAGCGGGGUGCAGGGAAUGAGUGGGCGGCUGGAUGAAUGAGGCUGCGCAGCUCCAAGCUUGGAGAGCCGUGGGACAGACGAGGAGGGAGAGUGUAAAGGAAGGGGCAAAGGAGGAGUCAACACCUGUUACCUCGUGUUAAUCCUCAGGAUGAACAUCCUAAGAAUGUUUGUAACUCCCUCAACACAACCCGGCAGUGGAGGGGCGCUACUUUCACCCCACAUUAUACAUGAAGACACUGAGGGUCAAGAAGAGCCCUGUGCCCAGGCGGUAGUUGGAGACAACUGACCUUGAAGAAUUUUUUUUUUAAGUGCUGAAAAUCCAACCUAAGCUUUCAUGCACGAAAAGCAAGCCCCUACCACUGAGUUGCACCCACCACUCAAACUUGACUUCUUCAAGGCCACAUGGCAAGAAGUUGGCAGAGGUGGAACUGGAAUCUGCGGACCUAACUUUGAAAUUAUUUAAUAAGUACUGCAUACCUAACCUCCUGGGUCAGGAAGUGGAGAGGGAGGACUCCCUGCCACAGAGCGCAGGCCCAUUCAGACCCAGCCUGUACCCCUGCUCCUUUGCUUUGU
rnacentral:lncRNA from 1 species